rnacentral:rRNA from 1 species
UAGGGAAUAUUGGUUAAUGUGCGAAAGCGCGAACCAGCAACGCCGCGUGUGCGAUGAAGGCCUUCGGGUUGUAAAGCACUUUUCGAGGGGAUGAGGAAGGACAGUACCCUCGGAAUAAGCCUCGGCUAACUACGUGCCAGCAGCCGCGGUAAAACGUAGGAGGCGAGCGUUAUCCGGAUUUACUGGGCGUAAAGCGCGUGCAGGCGGUUGUGUAAGUUGGAUGUGAAAGCUCCUGGCUUAACUGGGAGAGGUCGUUCAAUACUGCACAACUAGAGGAUGGGAGAGGGAGGCGGAAUUCCGGGUGUAGUGGUGAAAUGCGUAGAUAUCCGGAGGAACACCAGUGGCGAAAGCGGCCUCCUGGCCCAUAACUGACGCUCAUACGCGAAAGCUAGGGUAGCA